GCGCCCGUAGCUCAGCAGGAUAGAGCACCGGUUUCCUAAACCGGGGGUCGGAGGUUCGAGUCCUCCCGGGCGCGCCA
rnacentral:tRNA from 1 species